CAGCCGCGGUAAAACGUAGGGGUCAAGCGUUAUCCGGAAUUACUGGGCGUAAAGCGCGUGUAGGCGGUUGCGUAAGUCGGACGUGAAAGCUCCUGGCUCAACUGGGAGAGGCCGUUCGAAACUAGGUAACUAGAGGGUGGUAGAGGCAAGUGGAAUUCCCGGUGUAGUGGUGAAAUGCGUAGAUAUCGGGAGGAACACCAGUGGCGAAGGCGGCUUGCUGGGCCAACCCUGACGCUGAGAUGCGAAAGCUAGGGGAGAGAACGGGAUUAGAAACCCCGGUAUUCCUAGCCGUAAACGAUGUCAACUAGGUGUAGGUGGUUAUUGACCCCAUCUGUACUGUAGCAAACGCGUUAAGUUGACCGCCUGGGGAAUACGGCCGCAAGGCUAAAACUCAAAGGAAUUGACGGGGACCCGCACAAGCAGCGGAGCGUGUGGUUUAAUUCGAGGCUACGCGAAGAACCUUACCAGGGUUUGACAUAUGCGUGGUAGGGAAUCGAAAGAGGACCGACCCUUCGGGGAGCGCAUACAGGUGCUGCAUGGCUGUCGUCAGCUCGUGCCGUGAGGUGUUAGGUUAAGUCCUGUAACGAGCGCAACCCUCGUCGUUAGUUACAAGUGUCUAGCGAGACUGCCGGUGAUAAGCCGGAGGAAGGUGGGGAUGACGUCAAGUCAGCAUGGCCUUUAUAUCCUGGGCUACACACACGCUACAAUGGCCGGUACAAUGGGCAGCCAAGCCGUGAGGCGGAGCCAAUCCCGCAAAGCCGGUCUCAGUUCGGAUUGUAGGCUGCAACUCGCCUGCAUGAAGUCGGAGUUGCUAGUAAACGCGCGUCAGC
rnacentral:rRNA from 1 species